GGAGAAUAAGCACCGGCUAACUCCGUGCCAGCAGCAGCGGUAAUACGGAGGGUGCAAGCGUUAUCCGGAUUUAUUGGGCGUAAAGCGUUUCGUAGGCGACAUGAUAAGUCACCUUUUAAAGACUCCGGCUCAACUGGAGAAAGGGGGGUGAUACUGUCGUGUUUGAAUCAUUUAGGGGCUACCGGAACUAUCGGUGUAGGAGUGAAAUCCGUUGAUAUCGAUAGGAACACCAAGGGCGAAGGCAGGUAGCUGGGGAUGUCGGGUACCAUUUGGUACUCGACCGGGUACCGUAAGGUAUCCGGUAUUGACGCUGAGGAACGAAAGCUAGGGGAGCGAAAGGGAUUAGAGACCCCUGUAGUCCUAGCCGUAGCCGCCUGGGGAGUACGAACGCAAGUUUAAAACUCAAAGGAAUUGACGGGGACCCGCACAACCAGUGGAGCAUGUGGUUCAAUUCGAGACGAACCGAAGAACCUUACCUAGCCUUGACAUACUACCGUUUUAUUCCGGCAGAAACGUUGGAAGAUCCUUCGUAAGUUGGAUGGUAGUACAGGUGUUGCAUGGCUGUCGUCAGCUCGUGCCGUGGGGUGUUCCCUUCAGUGGGGUAACGAGCGCAACCCCUGUCCUAUGUUAAAUAUUCAUAGGAGACUCUUUAAGUUUUGUCUUAUUGGGAAGUGGGGACGACGUCAAGUCAGCAUGGCCCUUAUGGCUAGGGCGACACACAUGCUACAAUGAAGCCGACAAAGGGUUGCCAAGCGGUAACGCGGAGCUAAUCCCAAAAACGGCUUCUCAGUGGGGAUUGAGGGCUGAAACCCGCCCUCAUGAACGCGGAAUUGGUAGUAAUCGCGGAUCAGUAAUGCCGCGGUGAAUACGUUCUCGGGUCUUGUACACACCGCCCGUCAAGUCAGCAAAGUUGGGGGCACCCGAAUUCCCGUUGAACGGGAGCAAGGUGACACCAGCGAUGAGGAUUAAGUCGUAACAAGGUAUCCGUACUGGAAGGUGCGGAUGGAUCACCUCCUUU
rfam:Microgenomates (Woesebacteria) bacterium GW2011_GWC1_38_13 TS75_C0050, whole genome shotgun sequence.